rnacentral:snRNA from 1 species
GUGCUCACUUUGACAGUACAUACACUAAAAUUGGAAUGAUACAGAGCAGAUUAGCAUGGUCCCUGAGCAAGGAUGACAUGCAAAUUUGUGAAGCAUUCCAUAUUUUU